UACGUAGGGGGCAAGCGUUGUCCGGAUUUAUUGGGCGUAAAGAGCGUGUAGGCGGCCUGAAAGGUCAGCUGUGAAAACUCGAGGCUCAACCUCGAGACGUCGGUUGAAACCAUCUGGCUAGAGUCCGGAAGAGGAGUGUGGAAUUCCUGGUGUAGCGGUGAAAUGCGCAGAUAUCAGGAGGAACACCGAUGGCGAAGGCAGGUCUCUGGGCCACUACUGACGCUGAGAAGCGAAAGCAUGGGGAGCGAACAGG
rnacentral:rRNA from 1 species